AUGACAAGACCACAGGCCGACUGGCCAAAGAGCCUGGGGAGGCAGAGAGGCACAGGGUGGGGGGAGGGGCAGCAACUGGUUUGCACAUUUGCACAGAUGACAUGGCCAGCAGGUCCCACAGGCCUGUCCUGCACAAGCCCCCUCCUGCUGGGCCGACAGCUGAGUGCGGCCAGUGUGGAGCCGGGUGGGGUCACGCACAAGGCUGCUGUACAGGAUGAAGAGUGGACUUGCUUGCACCCCAAGUCAGGGUGGUGGCCAGGCCUGCCCUGCCACCUCCUUGCCCGUUUCCCCAGCAAGACAAUAAAGAUGACAACAACAUCGCCACAGGCGGGCGUGUCUAAUUUCCUAGCACCGCAGCCUCAUCCCAGACUUGGCCAAGAACAAUUCUCUGCCGUUAUUAAGAAGGCGCUGGAGGAGGUCUGGAAGGCUGUGCUGGCACCACAGCGGAUGAAUUAAAAACCUGAGGCCGACAACGAAAUGUAACACAGUGUCCUGCAGGGGAGCCUGGAACAGAAAGAGGACAUCAGGGAAACAGUAGAAAUCUGAGCCAACUAUGGACUCUGGUUAAUAAUAACGUAUCAAUAUUGUUUCGUUAUUUGUCGCAAAUGUACCACACCACUGUAAGAUGAUUACACUAGAGGAACCACGUGUGUGUAUGCGUGAUGUGUGCACACACACACGUAGGAACUCUGUGUACUGUCUCUGCUAACUCUGUAAAUCUAAAACUGUUGUAAAAAAUGAGGUCUGUUAAAAAGAAAAGGUGGAGGACGGGACGUUUCGAGGACCACAUGUGUUGGCGAGGACCUGCCAUCCUGGCUGGGGCUGCCGGGGGUCUAGGCUACUGGCCUCUUGGGGCAGACGGCAGCUUUGGGAGGCUGACGAUGCACAGGGCCUUUUAGAUGCUCUGAAAAAUCGCAUAGUUAAGAAGCCUGCUCCACUUUGUUUAUCCCAGCGAUUUCUUGGAUGGUCUGAAGUGCCCCACCCAGUCUGUGCAGGUAGCUGCAGGCCAUUCUCCCUGACUGUUGCACCCCUGGGCCCCUGGGCCCGGUGUCCUAAUUAUGCUCUGUGGUGGUUUGGUGCUGCGUGUACUCCAGACAAAUCCGUCUUAAACCCCAUCCGUUCCUGCGGGUGAGAGCCCACUGCAAGCCAGGCCUCUGAAUGAGCUUACUGCAGUUAAGCCGUGACCACCUCGUUCAGGAUGGGUCUUACUGGUAUCACUGGAGUCCUAUAUAAACUGAAUAAAUGCGGAGAGAAAGAAAAAGCCAUGGAAGCGAGAAACUGAAAUUGACGAAACCUAGAAGAGAAGGGACAGACUAGCAGACACUACCAAGUGCCUGGCCAUGUGACACAAGACCCUGGGAUGGUUGGCAGCAAGCUUUUGGGAAGAAAGUAUCUCCUUAAUGGUGCCUUGAUUUGGACAUUUCCCCAGAUUCAAACCACGAGCAAAAAAACUCCCACUGUUUAAAACAGAACUAUUUCGUGGUAUUUACUUUAGCAGCCUGGAAAAAGAACACGUGCUCCCAGAAGACCACAGGACUGUGGAGGCCCGGGAGCACCAGGGUUUCCAGACACGGGGGCUGGGGCUGUGCGUGCAGGUGGGCUCCCUAUGGACGAGGGCUGAGUCCCUUCCAGACAUGGCUGCACAGGCCCCUGGCAACCUCUGGCCUAACCUGUCAUUGGCCGGCCUCUUAAGGCACAGGUCACGCGUACUGGGCUAGAACACAGAGCUUGUGCGAUUUCCCCUCUACGACUGUUCAUUCAGGCAGCUGGACCUUGAGCUUGCCAUGGCAUUAAAGAAGGAUCAUUACAAUGGAAGGUAGAAGAAUGAGAGGCAAAUCCUUGUAUUGGACUUCCAGAGAUGAUCCUGUAAGAAAUUGUUAACUCCUGAGCACACAAGGCCCGUGGUGGUUUAGGAGGUGCCUUUGAGGAAAUUUAGUAACAUAUAUCAAAUGUCAAGUUUUCCAUUCUAACAGCCUUCAGGCAUACCGUUUAGUGGUGCUAAUUGCAUUCACUGUGUUGCCUUACCAUUACCAAAACUUUUUCAUGACUCCAACAGAAACUUUGCAUCCAUAAAACUGUAACUCUCCACUCCCCUCCGCCCCAGACCCUGGUAUCCUCUACUUUCCAUGUCUAUGAAUUUGCAUUUCUAGUUCUUUCAUAUAAAUGGGAUCAUAAAAUAUCUGCCC
rnacentral:lncRNA from 1 species